rnacentral:rRNA from 1 species
CCUACGGGCGGCACCAGUGGGGAAUAUUGCACAAUGGGCGCAAGCCUGAUGCAGCCAUGCCGCGUGUAUGAAGAAGGCCUUCGGGUUGUAAAGUACUUUCAGCGGGGAGGAAGGCGAUAAGGUUAAUAACCUUGUCGAUUGACGUUACCCGCAGAAGAAGCACCGGCUAUCUCCGUGCCAGCAGCCGCGGUAAUACGGAGGGUGCAAGCGUUAAUCGGAAUUACUGGGCGUAAAGCGCACGCAGGCGGUCUGUCAAGUCGGAUGUGAAAUCCCCGGGCUCAACCUGGGAACUGCAUUCGAAACUGGCAGGCUAGAGUCUUGUAGAGGGGGGUAGAAUUCCAGGUGUAGCGGUGAAAUGCGUAGAGAUCUGGGGGAAUACCGGUGGCGAAGGCGGCCCCCUGGACAAAGACUGACGCUCAGGUGCGAAAGCGUGGGGGGCAAACAGGAUUAGAUACUCCCGUAGUC